CCAGACUCCUACGGGAGGCAGCAGUGGGGAAUAUUGCACAAUGGGCGGAAGCCUGAUGCAGCAACGCCGCGUGCGGGAUGACGGCCUUCGGGUUGUAAACCGCUUUCGCCUGUGACGAAGCGUGAGUGACGGUAAUGGGUAAAGAAGCACCGGCUAACUACGUGCCAGCAGCCGCGGUGAUACGUAGGGUGCGAGCGUUGUCCGGAUUUAUUGGGCGUAAAGGGCUCGUAGGUGGUUGAUCGCGUCGGAAGUGUAAUCUUGGGGCUUAACCCUGAGCGUGCUUUCGAUACGGGUUGACUUGAGGAAGGUAGGGGAGAAUGGAAUUCCUGGUGGAGCGGUGGAAUGCGCAGAUAUCAGGAGGAACACCAGUGGCGAAGGCGGUUCUCUGGGCCUUUCCUGACGCUGAGGAGCGAAAGCGUGGGGAGCGAACAGGCUUAGAUACCCUGGUAGUCCACGCUGUAAACGGUGGGUACUAGGUGUGGGGUCCAUUCCACGGGUUCCGUGCCGUAGCUAACGCUUUAAGUACCCCGCCUGGGGAGUACGGCCGCAAGGCUAAAACUCAAAGGAAUUGACGGGGGCCCGCACAAGAGG
rnacentral:rRNA from 1 species